GAGAAUUUAAUGGAGUUUCAAAUUCCAUGAAUGAUUCAUAGAAUUCAAACCUUUGUCACUUCAAACUCCAGGAACAUUCAUGGAAUUCAAACUUCACAGCAUUCUAAGACAGACCAAUCUAGUUGUGGCAUUUCAUCAAACAACUCUCUAGCAUAACUCAAAAUUACGACUUGAAACAAAAAAGAAUAAUUCAACUACCAAAUGAAAGUAAAUCUAAAAAUUAGAGAUGGUAACCUAAAGUCCAAUACCAGCUGCAACAGUGAUUAAUGUGAUCACUUGACAACAGUUGGGGUUCCCACUGCUUUGAGGCUUUGAGUGCUGAGAUGGUGUCACGAAGACGCUUUGGCUUCGUUUCAACGAUUAAUGGAUAGAGAAUUCAAUAGUUAUACUUACAUUCAAAAUUCCACGUUUUAUGCACUCACGAAGGAAGGGCAGCAAAUUUACCUACAAAUCAAUGUGUAUAAUGGUUGAAGCUUGGAGAGAGUGAUGUGUUCAUUCCAAACUUCUGAAGAUGAAAAUUUGAAUCCAUUGACUCUAGAUCGCAAGAGGGAUUUGAGUUACCUCACAAAUCUUCCAGGUGCACAAGCGUUUCAACCCAGCGAUUGAAGGCUGCAUUGGGGUGAUUCAUGCUGCACAUCAAAUUGAUUUUGAGAACAAACAAAGUGAAUAUCUAGGUGCAAGUUAAAUUAAAAAGGUUUAAUUUGAGAAAAUGGAAGGAGAUAAAUUGAUUUUACUUACAUUUAUUUGCAGGUACACAGGGGCAUGUAGUGAAGAAUUCGAUGGAGCAAUUGAAUGUUGCAAAAAAAGAGGCACUUGCUCUUCCCUUUAUUGUUCUUCCAUUAUUCUGUUUUCAUAAGGGAUGUUAAGCCGUGCUGUGCGAUUGGGGAAACAUUCCAUAUAAUGAUUGGAACCAGACAUUUCAGUGCUCUUAUAUUUUAUAACUGCAAAUGCAUUUGCUUGG
rnacentral:lncRNA from 1 species